AGCUCUCUAACAAAGGGCAAAAUGGAAUGUGCCUGUUUUCAAAUUCCUGUGAAAAAGGGUCCUGGAAGACCUCAGAUCCUGGUCUAGGGCAAUUUGCGUCACUGUUUUUCGGGGCUUUGAAUGAAGACUCUAAGCUGUUGAGAGAGAUCUUACCAAACAUCGUUAGCGUGGAGCCACUUAUCAGAAGGAUCUAUAUAGGUUGUUACUGCAUAAAAACGAAAUAGAACUGUCCAUGCCUGGUUUGAAGUACAGUGAUGGCUAGGGAGGAAAGUAAACCGGGAAGAGCUGGGACAUUUCUAAAUUUGGUACCAUUGAUCCAAAAUUUGGUGUUUAUCAUCCGGGGGAGGGAGAGAUGGUUCGGGGGCAGCUCAGACACUAGAGCUUGUGGUGCGCAUUUUAAGGACAGAGGGUUGCUGGGUUCAGAGGUGAGGAAAAAUCAACGGUUAUGUUUCUCAGUACUUAACUUUACACUGGGAAGCAUUUCCUCUGCCCAGAAUGCUCUGCUUCUGGUUGGCCCUGCUUCUGUGGCUGGUUCCUUCCUGUCAUUUAUUUCUCAUCACAAAAGUCACCUCCUUCCACCUAAUCCAAACACUCACAACAUAUCUCUCCAUUUUAAUUACCUGCUCGCUUUUAUCUGAUAUUUUGGUUUGUUUUCUUGUUUAUUACUGGACUACGAGCUUUGCUUUAAUAGGAAGCUUGUCCGUUUACUACGGAUUCCAGCGACUAGCACGUAGUAGAUACUCAAGAAAGAUACUGAAUGAAGAAGAAGGAAUAGGAUAAUUGUCCCUGUACAAUUUGAGUCAUGAAAAAAUUAACUUUGUAGAGGUCUUACCUAGUACCUGCAGGUGAUUUUCUGGUUCUUAUGCAAGAUAAUAAUAAUUUGAGGUAAAUGAAGCCCCUUUCAUCCCUGGGAGGGAUUCUGAAACCAAUGGAAAAGUAGAAGGUAGGAUAGAGAUUUCUGAAAAGACCACAACUAAAUUGGGGCACUUACAUGUCUCAAACUCUUGAUUUUAGCUCAGGUCAUGAUCUCACAGUUUGGUUUGUGGGAUCAAGCACUGUGAUGGGCUCUGUGCUGACAGCACGGAUCGUGGUUGGGAUUCUCUCUGUUCCUCUCCCGCUCGUGCUCUCUCUCUCUCUCUCUCAAAAAUGAAUAAACAAACACUAAAAACAGAACACCACAACUAAAUUAAUCUCGAACACCGUGGGGCUGCUUUAUCUAAACAUGCAGUCUAGAACCACCUCAUUUGAGACUCUUCGGUAUUCUCCAUUGCUAGGGGUUUUGUGUACUUCUCUGGUCAUCUUACCACACGGGCCAGAAAUGGGUAAGACGUGUUGAAAUAUUCACUGUGGCUCGGAGCUGCUGUUUGGUAAGACUGCUGAUCUGGCAGGCCAAUGAGUGGAGUGCUACUUGAAAACACCAGGUUUUCUCCAUUUCCCCAGCCUAUUUCACAACGUCUUGCUUCACUCUUUUCCAAGUUCCAAGCUCAGACAGACACCAGCUGGAUGAACACUAGGCUUGGAUGGCAAAGUCAUAGUAGCAAAUGAACCCCCGAAGUCCCGCCUCCUGUGAACUGUCCCAUUCACGACAAACAGAGGCCAGGGGAAAAUGAAGAUUCUUCACCCGCAGACACCCUCUGGGCAGGUUACCCACAGUUGAUUCCAAACCACCUGAUCAAUGUGGAAGAAGGAAUAGAAUGGUUCAGCCAAACUGUGCCAAUGAAGAAUGCUGUCGGCUGAUCCCAUGCACGGAGCUAAGCAAUCUGAACGGGGCAGGAGUGCGUGGUCCUCUGUUGUAACCUUGAAGUUCAGCUUCAGCCCAGAUAGGGCUGAUGUAGGCCCUGCAGCCAGGCCUCAGGUGAUCGUGUGGUCUGCGAUACUCCAAUCCUGUCCAGUGCAAGUCUUACAAUCAACAAAUACUGACCGAGCCCUAGCCACAUGCCCAGUCAUGGCUAGAUUGCCCAAGAAGCCAAGCAAGAACAUGCUGGGGCCAGGGCAGGGCCAGGGAUGGGGGUAAGGGGCAUUCAAGAAAGAACUGGGAAAACUGUAGCCAUCAUUCUGUUUAUUGAGUACCUUGCUGUUGUGCAAGGCACUGUUUCUGGCACUGGGGAACCCGCAAUUUUUCCCUCCCGCAUGAACUUACAUCCUGGCCUUAUUUCAGCAUACUUGUGAGUUUUAGCUUUUGAAAUAAAAUUUUAUUUUGCAAUUUAAUGUUGUUUUUAUUUUGAACCUCUUGGGAGAGUACCAUCGUCAUUUUGGUAUCGGGGCCAUAAAAAUUUUAUUACGGCCUAUUCCCCGUGCUGUUAAACAUACAAACAAAAAGUUAGGUUUUUAAACCUUAUGCCCAAAUAUUUUCUAAAAAAGUCACUUGUAGUAUUAACUUGAAUUUGUGAAAAAGAAAGGAUUUGUGGGAGGGGGGCGUGCCGCACUUGGGUGACUCCGUCAAGCAUCCAACUCUUGGUUUCGGCUCAGGUCAUGAUCCCAUGGGUCUUGAGUUUGAGCCCCACAUCGGGCUCUGCAAUGAAGGCGAGGAGCCUGCUUGGGAUUCUGUCUCCCUUUCUCUGCUCCUCCCCCACCCACUUUCUAUCUCUCUCUCUCUCUCUCUCUCUCUCUCUCUCAUAAAUAAAUAAAUAAACAUUCAAAAAGA
rnacentral:lncRNA from 1 species